rnacentral:rRNA from 1 species
UAUUUUAAAGAGAGUUUGAUCCUGGCUCAGGACGAACGCUGGCGGCGUGCCUAAUACAUGCAAGUCGAACGAACGGAGGAAGAGCUUGCUCUUCCAAAGUUAGUGGCGGACGGGUGAGUAACACGUGGGCAACCUGCCUGUAAGUUGGGGAUAACUCCGGGAAACCGGGGCUAAUACCGAAUGAUAAAGUGUGGCGCAUGCCACGCUUUUGAAAGAUGGUUUCGG